rnacentral:rRNA from 1 species
GGCGGCCGUAACAAUAACGGUCCUAAGGUAGCGAAAUUCCUUGUCGGGUAAGUUCCGACCUGCACGAAUGGCGUAAUGAUGGCCACGCUGUCUCCACCCAAGACUCAGUGAAAUUGAAAUCGCUGUUAAGAUGCAGUGUAUCCGCGGCUAGACGGAAAGACCCCGUGAACCUUUACUAUAGCUUCACAGUGGACUUUGAAUUUAUUUGUGUAGGAUAGGUGGGAGACUUUGAAGCGUUGUCGCUAGAUAGCGUGGAGUCAACCUUGAAAUACCACCCUGAUAACUUUGAGGUUCUAACUUAGGUCCCUAAUCGGGAUUGAGGACAUUGUGUGGUGGGUAGUUUGACUGGGGCGGUCUCCUCCCAAAGAGUAACGGAGGAGCACGAAGGUACCCUAAGGACGGUCGGAAAUCGUCCGCUUAGUGUAAUGGCACAAGGGUGCUUGACUGCGAGAGUGACAACUCGAGCAGGUGCGAAAGCAGGUCAAAGUGAUCCGGUGGUUCUGUAUGGAAGGGCCAUCGCUCAACGGAUAAAAGGUACUCUGGGGAUAACAGGCUGAUACCGCCCAAGAGUUCACAUCGACGGCGGUGUUUGGCACCUCGAUGUCGGCUCAUCACAUCCUGGGGCUGAAGCCGGUCCCAAGGGUAUGGCUGUUCGCCAUUUAAAGUGGUACGCGAGCUGGGUUUAGAACGUCGUGAGACAGUUCGGUCCCUAUCUGCCGUGGGCGCAGGAGAUUUGAGAAGAGUUGCUCCUAGUACGAGAGGACCGGAGUGAACGAACCUCUGGUGUUCGGGUUGUUACGCCAGUAGCAUUGCCCGGUAGCUACGUUCGGACAGGAUAACCGCUGAAAGCAUCUAAGCGGGAAGCCUCCUUCGAGACGAGAUCUCCCUUAGGACUUGAUCCUACUAAAGUGCCGUUCAAGACUAGGACGUUGAUAGGCUGGGUGUGUAAGUGCAGCGAUGCAUUGAGCUAACCAGUACUAAUUGCACGUGAGGCUUG